GGGCCUGUUGCACAAAAGUAGAAUUAAGACAUCCAGGCUAAAUGACUGAGCUGAGCUCAAUGAAGCCAAAACAAGUGCGUCCAGGCUUAAUUGGUUGCACAAAGACCAAGCCAGGAUGAUCAGACACGGAUUCAUCAAGCCAGGUGAAACCAAUCCUGGAUAGGUGCGCGCUCACGGCUCACUCAACUAGACCCCGCCACCGAUCACAGAUUCACCGAUUCACCAUGGCAACUAGCGGCGUUCUUUUCCCCGUCAGAGGCGCAAAUCCAUAUGAGGAGGUAAAAGACAUAAUUAAGAAGAAAGGCAACACCGCCACAGUGAUAAAGCAAAGAGAUAAAGCGUGGCAAAGUAUUGCAGACCGCCUGAAUGCGUCAUGUUGCUCAUCAAGAAAAUGCAUCUUAAUUUAAGAAUUUUUUGAUAUUUUUACUGAAAACAAGACAAAAAUACAAAAUUAAAUAUGACAGGUCAAAAUCAAAUACAAGAACAUUCUGCAGAAUGCAGUGAAAAGAAUACCCAGAGACAAGGCACGGGUGGUGGGUCACCAAAAGCUGACCUCACCCCAGCAGAGGCCAGCUUUGGAGCUAAAUAAAGGCAGGCCUGUUGGAGGGGAUCCCGGGGGAAAAGAGACAAGCAUAGGUCCCUCCCAAGAUGCCACCCGCUUCAUACAAGUGUCUGGCAGCACUGUGUUACUAUUAAAGCCACCAGCACGAGCACCAGACGAUGCUGAUCCAGUGAGUACUCCAUCAAAGGCAUACUAUAGGCCUGGCACGUCUUGUCUACUAGCUUCAAUAUGAAUCCGAUUAAAUGUGAUAGGGUUUAAGGCCCCAUUUCAUCAGCACAUAACGGCGAUGAUGAUGAGGAGACCAUCUCUCUGGAUUCCAAAAGGCAUAAGGACCCAGUGUCAUUGGUGCACUGGACUGCACACACAUAAGGAUAAAAGCCCCCUAAGGUGCCCAUGAGGCAGAUUUUGUAAAUAUGAAAUCUUUUUACAGCAUUAAUGUUCAGGUGAACAUAACUUUUUGAUCUUUUCCAUUGAACACUGGCAAAAUGGCCUGCCUCAGUCCAUGACUCCAGAAUCUUUCGGACCUCUUAAAUCUUUCAGCGCCUUUCACAAGGUGA